UAGAUACCCUGGUAGUCCACGCCGUAAACGUUGGGCACUAGGUGUGGGGUCUAUUCAACGGACUCCGUGCCGUAGCUAACGCAUUAAGUGCCCCGCCUGGGGAGUACGGCCGCAAGGCUAAAACUCAAAGGAAUUGACGGGGGCCCGCACAAGCAGCGGAGCAUGUUGCUUAAUUCGAGGCAACGCGAAGAACCUUACCUGGGUUUGACAUGUAGAGAAAAGCCGUAGAGAUACGGUGUCCUUCGGGGUU
rnacentral:rRNA from 1 species